rnacentral:rRNA from 1 species
GACGAACGCUGGCGGCGUGCUUAACACAUGCAAGUCGAACGGAAAGGCCCUGCUUUUGUGGGGUGCUCGAGUGGCGAAAGGGUGAGUAACACGUGAGUAACCUGCCCUUGACUUUGGGAUAACUUCAGGAAACUGGGGCUAAUACCGGAUAGGAGCUCCUGCUGCAUGGUGGGGGUUGGAAAGUUUCGGCGGUUGGGGAUGGACUCGCGGCUUAUCAGCUUGUUGGUGGGGUAGUGGCUUACCAAGGCUUUGACGGGUAGCCGGCCUGAGAGGGUGACCGGCCACAUUGGGACUGAGAUACGGCCCAGACUCCUACGGGAGGCAGCAGUGGGGAAUAUUGCACAAUGGGCGGAAGCCUGAUGCAGCAACGCCGCGUGCGGGAUGACGGCCUUCGGGUUGUAAACCGCUUGCGCCUGUGACGAAGCGUGAGUGACGGUAAUGGGUAAAGAAGCACCGGCUAACUACGUG